GCCGGCCUAGCUCAGCCCGGUAGAGCACCCGGCUGUUAACCGGGGGGUCAUGGGUUCAAAUCCCAUGGCCGGCG
rnacentral:tRNA from 2 species